rnacentral:lncRNA from 1 species
ACAAAGCUAGUCAUUUAACCAAUAUCAAAACAUAGAUAAAUACUAUACAAUUGUAAUUAAGCAUUCACUAUGCAAACCAAAUAGUGUCCUAUAAGAUUCUCUUCCAAUGUUUCUAUCUAAUUGUUCUUUGCACAAUAAUCAACCCCCACCUUAAAAAGAAAAGCACAUACAAAGCCUACUACAAAACCAAAGCUAAGCACGCCCGCCAACAUUUUUUUUGAAGAAGCUAAAUUAGCCAACCCAAAUUAGCACC